AUGGGUAUCUUCCACUAAAUCCUCCUCCUUCUUCAGUCGGAUCCGUGACAUCCAUCUCUGUGCAAUCCCCCCAAGAAUCCAAAUCCAAAAUUUUCAAUUUCAAAACAUUUAGGCAUAUGAUGGGGCGAUGAAGCGUGAUUGGAACAUUCUGAAAAACAAAGAGAAUUCAAUAUAGCCCCAGAGCACAUCUCCAAGUGGUAAAAGGGGAGGGUGGAGAAAUCCAGUUUUGUUUGAGGCUGCUGCGUCAAGGGUUCGAAUCCUGAAAUAUGGAUUUGACUUUUGGGUAAGUGCAAGUAUACAAGCAGCUUUCCACCCUGUAUUCUUGGAGGCAUAACCUGCGAUUUAUCUCCCUCACGAUGCUUCAAGGUAGGAGCGGUGGGAGACCCUUAAGGUUGGGAUUCAACCUUUUUAGAGAAUUCAAUAUACAUAACAAGUAGCAGAAAUGGUCUGCGUGCAUCCACUUUAUGUCAUAAAUUGAACAGGAGUUAUGUUGGGGUGAAAAGAUAGGCUUUUGUUCAUAUCUCUGUGUUGUGCUAUUUGUUUCACUAGUAACAAGGUUAAAGUAUCUUUUGACCAUGCAUGAAUAACUUUUAUAUGUUGAUUUUA